CGACACUUUAAGCUUCAUUGCCGUAACGCCUAGAGGUUACUGGCAUACAUUCUGAUCAAUUCUGAUCAAUUCUGAUCAAAAUUUGAAAACUCUGACUGGUAAACAUGAGAACAAUGAGAAGGGUAAAGAUGAGUAAUAAAUUCCAAAAAUUCUUUGUGCCCUCGUGCUUAUUGGGUGGAAUAUAUAUAGGGUAUCGUAUAAUAAAAUGGGACACAAACAACCUAGAGCAGAGGGUAGAAGCCAAAAUGCACGAGCUCAAGAGGGAACUUCAAAAACCAAGUAAUUAAUGAAAAAAAAAUUACUCAAUUAUUGAAAAGUAUGUAACUUGAUUCAAUAAAAAUAUAAAAA